rnacentral:rRNA from 1 species
UACGGGGGGAGCAAGCGUUGUCCGGAUUUACUGGGCGUAAAGAGCGUGUAGGCGGGGUAGUAAGUCGGCGGUGAAAUCUCUCGGCUUAACCGAGAAUCUGCCACCGAUACUGUUACCCUUGAGUACGGAAGAGGGAAGUGGAAUUCCUGGUGUAGCGGUGAAAUGCGUAGAUAUCAGGAAGAACACCAGUAGCGAAGGCGGCUUCCUGGUCCGUAACUGACGCUGAGACGCGAAAGCGUGGGGAGCAAACAGGAUUAGAUACCCCGGUA